CCCAGUUUAAGAAACAAUGCUUUAAAGAUUUAAAUUAUGCUAACAUAAAAGAGAGGUAGGAUUUGCAUUAUAGUGUCAAUGUUACCUCAUAAAGAUCAGAUGAUUAUUUCCUCAUCACUCCCAUCAGAAAAGCAGAUCCAAACAACAUUUACAAUAUUUUCAAUAUGAAGAACUACAACACAGUUGUAACAGGACUUUGGGGCAUAUAUAGAUCACCUAAGAUGGAGACAACCACAUUAGAGAUGACAUGGACCCGUAUCAAGUUGAAGACUAUCUUGUAGUCCCAUGACUUUGGGAAAAGACAUUCUACAGUCUCCUAGCACAAAGGAGCGUACAUUAGCAAAGGUUUCAGUCACCUACAGCAUGGACAUUAUGCACUAAGGCAGAUUCAUCAAAGUCCAAUGGCAAGAUUGAGGUCUAAAGUGAUGGUCCAGGAUGCAGAGGAUAAUCUUGACAUCGUUUAUGUUUGAUCAAGCUCUAAGUGUUCCCAUAAUACCUGCUUCAGUUAUCUUCAUGAUCACUAGAAUAAAAUGUUCUCAUCUGCCUAUUCCUCUAGGGGAAAUCUUCAUAUGCUUGAGGUAGACAUACUCCUAAAUUCACUGCCAUCAUGGGUUCAAGGUUUUUGAGAUAUCUUAACCUGGUUUAUCCCACGUGCCAAGAAGAACUUACUGGAGUGUGAUCUCUGUACAUGCUACAACUUCUUAGAGCCACAGAAGAGACGUGAGUGCCAGAUGGACCCCAGAUAUGGAUGAGCAUUGCUGAAAAUUCAACAAGCCCUCACAUUACAGGCACUAGUCCUCCUUGAAUACCCCACAUACCCCAUAUAUUAAAUAUAUACAAUAUAAAUGUAUAUACAUAAACGUAUAUAUUUCUUUUCCAUUUUAAUGAAAAUCUUUC
rnacentral:lncRNA from 1 species